rnacentral:rRNA from 1 species
AUGAGUACCUUGUCUUGGAACUGCCGGGGGCUUGGGAACCCUUAGACAGUUCGAGAGCUUCUCAAACUUGUGAAGCAAGAAGGGCCCGCCCUGCUAUUUAUCAUGGGUGCGAAAAUCAGGGGCAAGAGGGUUGAGGAUAUGAAGAACGCACUUGGUUUUUCAGGCUGUUUUGCCGUUGAUAGCGACGGGCUUAGUGGAGGUAUUGGCCUCUUUUGGUCAAGUGACAUCAAUGUAACUCUGGAAAAUUAUAGUGCUUCCCAUAUUGAUGUAACUGUGAGACAAGAAAAUAAAACUUGGCAUUUCACGGGCUUCUAUGGUGAGCCACAGGUGAAAAAUAGACACCAUAGUUAG